GGAAGUUUGGGUGAGUGGCUUAAACCACUAGAUUGCUAAUCUGGCGUACGAUGCAAAUUGUACCGGGGGUUCGAAUCCCCCAGCUUCCGCCA
rnacentral:tRNA from 1 species